CAUGGAUGUGUCAAGAAGGAGAGGGUUUGGAGCUUGUUUCCAGGGAUCCUACUGUGUAGAAGGCUGGCAAGGGCUGUGGAAAAAGGAAGGUUCCCAGCAUGUGAGGCUGGAUCAGACUUUCAGUCAAACUCAUAAUUUUGGGAAAAGCACUAUUCAAAGACAUGUGGGGAUUGUUCAGUGGUGAGCAGAAGCGUGGCAUGGCAGUUUGAAGACAGUGAAGAAAAUAUUUUUUAUAGCUGAAUGUUAAGUUAGCUGAAACCAGAGAGCAUAAAAUUGCCAAAACCACACUGGAACUAACUCACCUAUUCUUCCUAAAAGCGCCAUGGGGUUCUCAUUUCACAAUUGGUCCAUGGGACAUUACAGUUUAUUGUUUGUUUCAUUUCAAAAGGCUGUGAAAUAUUGAGAUUGAAAGUAACUUUAAUUUUGUUUCCAAAAGAAAGAACAAAGUUUAACUGAUAUUUUCUAGAGCAUGAGUCCAAUAAAACAGCUGGAGUUGCAAUGAAAAGGACUUCUAUCUCCAUUAUAAAAAUGAAUUUUCUGUGUUGUUUGGGAGAGAUGCUUGGUUCCUUCAUCGAUCAUAAUGCAACAGUUUGACUGCACUUAUCUAUCUCAUCCAAUUCUUUUUCUUCUGACUGCAGUCCUUGCAAAUGAGUUUUUCAAUAAAAAAUCAAAACAAUGUCUGACUUAAUGAGCAUUAUAAAGAAAAGCUGUCAGUUCAUCCAAUCCUUAUUAUUUCAUCAUGAAAAGUCUGAUUUUGAGGCAUUAUCCAUUGCUUUUUAUUCUCAAGCCCAGGAGGGAGCAAAUCAAUUGCAAAUGCAAAAUUUGUCAAAGACCUUGGGCCCAACGCUUGCAGAAGAAGUACAGCCUGUACUAAAUGGCUGUGCUCCACAAAAAUUACAAUGGGGUAGUGGGAAGGAGUCCUCAAUCCUGGCCAGAAAAACUGCUUAUGCAGCUGGGUCACAGAUGCUGAUUUAGAGGAAGGGGUACAGAAGUGACUGCAGGCAUUUUCUUUCAAAAGAUUUAAUCUGCUAUAUCUGUACAGCAUUUCAAUAUUAUAUAUGUUAAUGAACUAAAAAUAUCAAUACA